GAGAAUUGUGCGUGAUGUGGACCUGUGGGACAACAUCAUUCCCAGAGUUGAGAGUUUCUUCAGACUAUGUGUUCUCCCUGAAGUGUUGGGACAGCAACUUACAAGGGGAAAGUUUCAGUUGCAAGAUGAUCAGGAGGGAGAGAAGGCGUGAUUACCAGCACCUGUGGUCUGUCCUGGUCCCGGAAGUUGUGGUUCUCUCCUUGUUGCAUUAUUAUUUGCACAGUGGCAGCUCUUUAACCUGCAUUACAGCACCUUCAUAUUCACUGACCACACUCACUAGAGGAAGUAGGGCUGUGUGAUAUAUUGCUAUUGUAAAAAAUAUGUUUACUGAAAAGAUUAAAUGAUACUAAGAAGACUGAAUAAUA